AUUGAACGCUGGCGGCAUGCCUUACACAUGCAAGUCGAACGGCAGCACGGGAGCAAUCCUGGUGGCGAGUGGCGAACGGGUGAGUAAUAUAUCGGAACGUGCCCAGUCGUGGGGGAUAACGUAGCGAAAGCUACGCUAAUACCGCAUACGAUCUAUGGAUGAAAGCGGGGGAUCGCAAGACCUCGCGCGAUUGGAGCGGCCGAUAUCAGAUUAGGUAGUUGGUGAGGUAAAGGCUCACCAAGCCGACGAUCUGUAGCUGGUCUGAGAGGACGACCAGCCACACUGGGACUGAGACACGGCCCAGACUCCUACGGGAGGCAGCAGUGGGGAAUUUUGGACAAUGGGCGCAAGCCUGAUCCAGCAAUGCCGCGUGCAGGAUGAAGGCCUUCGGGUUGUAAACUGCUUUUGUACGGAACGAAACGGUGAGCUCUAAUACAGUUUGCUAGUGACGGUACCGUAAGAAUAAGCACCGGCUAACUACGUG
rnacentral:rRNA from 1 species